GAACCCAUGACUCAAUGGUUAGAGUGUUGGACUUCUGAUCAACGGGUCGUGGGUUCG
rnacentral:tRNA from 1 species